GGAGGCGUGGCUGAGCGGUUUAAGGCAGCAGUCUUGAAAACUGUCGUAGGGGUGACUCUACCGUGAGUUCGAAUCUCACCGCCUCCG
rnacentral:tRNA from 1 species